rnacentral:tRNA from 1 species
CGGGGUGUGGCGCAGUUGGUAGCGCACUUGACUGGGGGUCAAGAGGUCGCACGUUCAAGUCGUGUCACUCCGA